AGUAUUUAGGUGACAUACACACCUGUCUGAGAAGGCACGGAUUGAAACUGAAUGUAAAGAAACAGCAUGGAAGUGUGACAAAGUCAUCUCCCCUGUUCUUUACUGCCCUCCAGUUACUGAAUCUGGGAACCAAGAACUCAGAACUGGACUGAGAAUAUCAUAAAAGCACAAAAAGGAUCCGUCCCUUCUAGAACUGGGCAACACUUUGAAUUCAGAAGCGAGCUUUUGGAGGCCUGGUCUUUUCUCCCCUAUGGAAAGAAUGGAAGGUCAAUGGAAAAGGUGUAAAGAGCUUUCCUGAUGUGUUUCCUCUCAUAGCUUUCUCUUGGUUUUAAUGGGAGGGAACUUGAAGGAAGGUAGAACGAAGCUGAUGUUUUCCAAGCAGCAUUGGAACAGAGCGGAUGACAGGAGUUACUGACUGGGAAGCUACUCCAAGGGAUGGAAGAAGAUAUUUGCAAGUGGGACUCAGGUGGUCUGCCUUGUCCCCCUCCACAGCACAGGGUCUGCAUUGCAAGGCCGGGUGAGAGUUUUUGCCUAUGCAGACCUUUGCUGUUGCAUGCAGCUAGCACAUCGUGUGUGCCAAUUGCCAACAUCAUCUUUCUCUUGAACACUCAAAGCUAGAAAUAAGGGUGUGGUGUAGGCUAGAAAUGAGCAUGUGGGGUAGGUUAGUGUCAGAGC
rnacentral:lncRNA from 1 species